CUACACGACCGUACCGCAAACCGACACUGGUGCGCGAGAUGAGUAUUCUAAGGCGCUUGAGAGAACUCAGGAGAAGGAACUCGGCAAAUUGACACCGUAACUUCGGAAGAAGGUGUGCCUUUAGUAGGUGAAGGGAUUUACUCCUAGAGCCCAAUGAGGUUGCAAAAAAUCGGUGGCUGCGACUGUUUAUUAAAAACACAGCACUCUGCAAACACGAAAGUGGACGUAUAGGGUGUGACGCCUGCCCGGUGCUGGAAGAUUAAAUGAUGGGGUGCAAGCUCUUGAUUGAAGUCCCAGUAAACGGCGGCCGUAACAAUAACGGUCCUAAGGUAGCGAAAUUCCUUGUCGGGUAAGUUCCGACCUGCACGAAUGGCGUAACGAUGGCCACACUGUCUCCUCCUGAGACUCAGCGAAGUUGAAAUGUUUGUGAUGAUGCAAUCUCCCCGCGGAAAGACGGAAAGACCCCAUGAACCUUUACUGUAGCUUUGUAUUGGACUUUGAACAGAUCUGUGUAGGAUAGGUGGGUGGCUUUGAAGUAGGGUCGCUAGAUCUUAUGGAGCCAACGUUGAAAUACCACCCUGGUGUGUUUGAGGUUCUAACCUAGGUCCAUUAUCUGGAUCGGGGACAGUGCAUGGUAGGCAGUUUGACUGGGGCGGUCUCCUCCCAAAGCGUAACGGAGGAGUUCGAAGGUACGCUAGUUACGGUCGGACAUCGUGACGAUAGUGCAAUGGCAUAAGCGUGCUUAACUGCGAGACUGACAAGUCGGGCAGAUGCGAAAGCAGGACAUAGUGAUCCGGUGGUUCUGUAUGGAAGGGCCAUCGCUCAGCGGAUAAAAGGUACUCUGGGGAUAACAGGCUGAUACCGCCCAAGAGUUCAUAUUGACGGCGGUGUUUGGCACCUCGAUGUCGGCUCAUCUCAUCCUGGGGCUGUAGCCGGUCCCAAGGGUAUGGCUGUUCGCCAUUUAAAGAGGUACGUGAGCUGGGUUUAAAACGUCGUGAGACAGUUUGGUCCCUAUCUUCCGUGGGCGCUGCAGAUUUGAGGAAGCCUGCUCCUAGUACGAGGGGACCGGAGUGGACACACCUCUGGUGUAUCGGUUGUCACGCCAGUGGCAUUGCCGAGUAGCUAAGUGUGGAAGAGAUAACCGCUGAAAGCAUCUAAGCGGGAAACUCGUUUCAAGAUGAGAUCUGCCGGGGCCUUGAGCCCCCUAAAGAGUCGUUCAAGACCAGGACGUUGAUAGGUCGGGUGUGGAAGCGCAGUAAUGCGUUAAGCUAACCGAUACUAAUUGCUCGUGCGGCUUGACCCG
rnacentral:rRNA from 1 species